rnacentral:tRNA from 1 species
GCCCAGGUGGUGAAAUUGGUAGACACGCUAGAUUCAGGGUCUAGUGCCGGUUCCGGUGUAAGGGUUCGAAUCCCUUCUUGGGCA